AAAUUGAAGAGUUUGAUCAUGGCUCAGAUUGAACGCUGGCGGCAGGCCUAACACAUGCAAGUCGAGCGGUAGCACAGAGAGCUUGCUCUCGGGUGACGAGCGGCGGACGGGUGAGUAAUGUCUGGGAAACUGCCUGAUGGAGGGGGAUAACUACUGGAAACGGUAGCUAAUACCGCAUAACGUCGCAAGACCAAAGUGGGGGACCUUCGGGCCUCAUGCCAUCAGAUGUGCCCAGAUGGGAUUAGCUAGUAGGUGGGGUAACGGCUCACCUAGGCGACGAUCCCUAGCUGGUCUGAGAGGAUGACCAGC
rnacentral:rRNA from 1 species